rnacentral:rRNA from 1 species
UUCCAGACUCCUACGGGAGGCAGCAGUGAGGAAUAUUGGUCAAUGGUCGGGAGACUGAACCAGCCAAGCCGCGUGAGGGAGGAAGGUACAGAGUAUCGUAAACCUCUUUUGUCAGGGGACAAAGACUGGGACGCGUCCCCGGAUGAGUGUACCUGAAGAAAAAGCAUCGGCUAACUCCGUGCCAGCAGCCGCGGUAAUACGGAGGAUGCGAGCGUUAUCCGGAUUUAUUGGGUUUAAAGGGAGCGUAGGCCGGUCUUUAAGCGUGCCGUGAAAUUUUGUGGCUCAACCAUGAGAGUGCGGCGCGAACUGGAGACCUUGAGUGCGCGGAAGGCAGGCGGAAUUUGUGGUGUAGCGGUGAAAUGCUUAGAUAUCACGAAGAACCCCGAUUGCGAAGGCAGCCUGCCGCAGCGUUACUGACGCUGAAGCUCGAAAGCGCGGGUAUCGAACAGGAUUAGAUACCCGGGUACG